GCCUGAGUGGCUCAGCUGGUUAAGCGUCUGCCUUCAGCUCAGGUCAUGAUUCUGGGGUCGUGGGAUCCAGCCUGCCUCAGGCU
rnacentral:tRNA from 1 species